UUUCUCAGCAAAACAAAAUCCGUAGACUGGACGCCAGGUCAGAAACGACAAAAUCAAUACUGGAGGAUGAUUAGUUGUACUGCUCCAGCGAAUGUCUCACCCAGCUGCACAGGGUCCACUCCUAAAAGAACCCUGGCCCCCUAAGGUAAAAGGACAAACACACAGUGUGGGUGGCAGUGUUUCUUCUAAGGUGCAUACUGCGGAGUUAAAAACGUGCGUCCUUAUGAAGCGAUGUAAUGUGUAAUAUUGCGCUGAGCCAUUUUAUUACAAGCUGCUAUGUAACUGUUUACUUUAGCUGGAGCAAUGUGUCAAUGGUUAUGCUGCAUG